UAAUUAAAAACAUUUCUACACAUUUUUUGACAACCUCUCCUUCAGAAGAUGAGAUUGAUGGCCCAUCCCAGAAUUCUGAGCCAAUCUUAGUGACCCUCUUGUAUCCAAUUCAAUGAAACAGUUGUGAUGCUACAUAAAUUUCUAGGCAGAAAUUACAACCUGCUGUCAUUACCUAUUGUCACCAGCAGAAGGCGCAUCUUGCCUUUCACGCAUUUUCAAAGUUUGGGUUUUCACGGGUCAUUUCCUACAGCUUGUAGAGCUUCUGGGAGCAAAUAAAUCACAGAUUGUUCAGAGACGAAUUGCCUGAGGUCUGUCUACGUGCAUAUGUCUUAUUCUCAGUUUCAAAGGAUGGUCUUGUUAAUAUAGAAUCCUGUGUUGACAAUUUGUUUUCUUUUCUCUUUGGGAAGAUUCAGCUCCAUUUUCCCUGGUGGUAGGUCUCCAUGGAUGCUAUUGAGAAGGCACUUCUCAAAGUCGACAAGGACGAGGACAUCUUUCCACCAAAUACCACCUGGUUUAUAACAAAAGCAUGAAAAACAAACAGGAAUUUCUCAAUGCAGAAAGGACUAAAGCUGUCAAAGGUGUGCUUUUUGUCUGCACAAACAAGUUUCCGUUGAAUGAUAGAAUGAAGAGAUACUGACUUCCCUGGAGUCUCCAAACUUGAGUAGUCAGGUAAGGAUCCUUGAAUAACAAGACAGCAAAGUAAGUAUUAUCCCUCCUGGGAUUUUGGUUGGUUAUGACAUUGUGUUGAAAAUUUGCAUUCCAUUUUACCUUGGGGAAUUACACUUCCUGAGACCUCAAUUUAGGAGGCUUAAGUGAAGAUAAUCCCUCCCCAGUUACACUUGGCCUGCAUAAACCAAGCAGAUCAAAAGGAAUGCUAUGUUCAAUUACUCAAUGAAUUGGUCGAUAUUGGCCUCCUUGAUAUAUAAAACUCCAUUAGUCAAAAAUAUCUUCUAAAUCUGAUGCCUUGCUUUACUCCAGAAGGUUGAUUCUUUGCUACAGCCCUAAUCUUUGGAAAUUGCGAUGUUAUUUUUCUGGACUAUCAUGGCAUAUUUAAGCCAGGAACAUGGGGUCAAGGAUACCUCUGCAGAUGAUGUUCUGGAUUUCAGGCAACAGUUUGGAAAUUUUAAGUAACUCUCAUGUUAUUUGAAUUAGGUAAAGUGUGUUCACAUUUGGACAUCAUUUAUUCUUUGGUGUACCAGGGAUCCCCAAGAACUCUCUCAGGAUAGAUGAUUUGUUAGAAUAAUUCACAGAACCCAGAAAAGCUAUUAUAAGUUGGGCAUGAUGACUUGCAUCUACAGGCCUAGCUGCUUGGGAAGCUGAGGUGAGAGGAUUCCCAGAGCCCAGGAGUUUGAGGUUGCAGUGAACUAUGAUCAUGCCACUGCACUCCAGCCUGAGUGACAGAGCAAGACCCCAUGUCCAAAAAUAAAAAUAAAUAACAAAGAAUAAAACAAAAGCUAUUAUACUCAUAAUUACAGUUUUUGUUUUACAGCAAAAGGGUAUACAUUAAAAUCAGCAAAGGGAAAAGGCACAUAGGGAGAGAGUCCAGAAGAAACCAGACUGAAGCUUCCAGCUAUCCUCUCCCUGCAGAGUUAUAUGAACAGUGUUUAAUUCUUCCAGCACGUGAUAUGUGACACAGCACAUGCAAAGUGUUACCAGCCUUGGUCAUAGAACCAUGGAGGGUCUGGAUCAUUGACCUUUGCUACUCAGUUCCAGCCCCCACAGAGGUCAAAAUGAUACAUGUCCUAAAGUGCCAGACAUACAAAAGCAGAUAUUUAGCACUGAAACACAUAUUUAGCAUAAACUAUCUGGUGUGCCCCAGAUAGUUUCUACUAAAAAUACAAAAAAUUAGCCAGGUGUGGUGGUGCACACCUGUAAUCCCAGCUACUCGGGAGGUUGAAGCAGGAGAAUUGCUUGACCCCGGGAGGCGAAGGUUGCAGUGAACCGAGAUCGUGCUGCUGUACUCCAACCUGGGUGACAAGAGCGAGACGCCAUC